rnacentral:rRNA from 1 species
AGCAGCCGCGGUAAUUCCAGCUCCAAUAGCGUAUAUAAAGUGUGCAGUAAAAGCUCGUAUGAAUUCGGGAUUGACGUGAUGGUCGUGCCUUACGGGGUAUGAACUGUUGCAGUCAAUUCUCACCUUCUGGAGAAAUAUGAUGUCCUUAAUUGGGUGUCAUAUGGAACCAGAACUUUUCCUUGAAAAAUUAGAGUGUUUAAAGCAGGCUUAUUGCUCGAAUACAUUAGCAUGGAAUA